rnacentral:rRNA from 1 species
AACACAUGCAAGUCGAACGAGACCUUCGGGUCUAGUGGCGCACGGGUGCGUAACGCGUGGGAAUCUGCCCUUGGGUUCGGAAUAACACAGAGAAAUUUGUGCUAAUACCGGACGAUGUCUUCGGACCAAAGAUUUAUCGCCCAGGGAUGAGCCCGCGUAGGAUUAGGUAGUUGGUGGGGUAAUGGCCCACCAAGCCGACGAUCCUUAGCUGGUCUGAGAGGAUGAUCAGCCACACUGGGACUGAGACACGGCCCAGACUCCUACGGGAGGCAGCAGUGGGGAAUAUUGGACAAUGGGCGAAAGCCUGAUCCAGCAAUGCCGCGUGAGUGAUGAAGGCCUUAGGGUUGUAAAGCUCUUUUACCAGGGAUGAUAAUGACAGUACCUGGAGAAUAAG